UCCUGGCUCAGGACGAACGCUGGCGGCGUGCCUAAUACAUGCAAGUCGAGCGGAAUCGAUGGAGUGCUUGCACUCCUGAGAUUUAGCGGCGGACGGGUGAGUAACACGUAGGCAACCUGCCCUCAAGACUGGGAUAACUACCGGAAACGGUAGCUAAUACCGGAUAGGAUAUUUGGCUGCAUGGCCGAAUAUGGAAAGGCGGAGCAAUCUGUCACUUGAGGAUGGGCCUGCGGCGCAUUAGCUAGUUGGUGGGGUAAUGGCCUACCAAGGCGACGAUGCGUAGCCGACCUGAGAGGGUGAACGGCCACACUGGGACUGAGACACGGCCCAGACUCCUACGGGAGGCAGCAGUAGGGAAUCUUCCGCAAUGGACGAAAGUCUGACGGAGCAACGCCGCGUGAGUGAUGAAGGUUUUCGGAUCGUAAAGCUCUGUUGCCAGGGAAGAACGCCAGAGAGAGUAACUGCUCUUUGGGUGACGGUACCUGAGAAGAAAGCCCCGGCUAACUACGUGCCAGCAGCCGCGGUAAUACGUAGGGGGCAAGCGUUGUCCGGAAUUAUUGGGCGUAAAGCGCGCGCAGGCGGUUCUUUAAGUCUGGUGUUUAAACCCGGAGCUUAACUUCGGGACGCACUGGAAACUGGGGAACUUGAGUGCAGAAGAGGAGAGUGGAAUUCCACGUGUAGCGGUGAAAUGCGUAGAUAUGUGGAGGAACACCAGUGGCGAAGGCGACUCUCUGGGCUGUAACUGACGCUG
rnacentral:rRNA from 1 species